AGGCUUAACACAUGCAAGUCGAGCGCCCCGCAAGGGGAGCGGCAGACGGGUGAGUAACGCGUGGGAAUCUACCUUUUGCUACGGAAUAACGCAGGGAAACUUGUGCUAAUACCGUAUGUGUCCUUCGGGAGAAAGAUUUAUCGGCAAGAGAUGAGCCCGCGUUGGAUUAGCUAGUUGGUGGGGUAAAGGCCUACCAAGGCGACGAUCCAUAGCUGGUCUGAGAGGAUGAUCAGCCACAUUGGGACUGAGACACGGCCCAAACUCCUACGGGAGGCAGCAGUGGGGAAUAUUGGACAAUGGGCGCAAGCCUGAUCCAGCCAUGCCGCGUGAGUGAUGAAGGCCCUAGGGUUGUAAAGCUCUUUCACCGGAGAAGAUAAUGACGGUAUCCGGAGAAGAAGCCCCGGCUAACUUCGUGCCAGCAGCCCGCGGUAAUACGAAGGGGGCUAGCGUUGUUCGGAAUUACUGGGCGUAAAGCGCACGUAGCGGAUCGAUCAGUCAGGGGUGAAAUCCCA
rnacentral:rRNA from 1 species